ACUGGGCAUGAUGCAUGUGUCUGCAGUCCUGGCUACUCGGAAGGCUGAGGUGGGAGAUUGCUGGAGCCCACCCAUUCUGGGCUAUAGUAUGCAGUGCUAAUCCUGUGUGUACACUGAGUUCGGCAUCAGUAUGGUGACCUGCGAGCUAGGGACCACGAGGUUGCCUAAGGAAGGGUGAACCCGUCCAACCUGGAACCAGCAGACAGAACUGUGCUGAUGAGCAGUGGGAGCGUGGCUGUAAGUAGCCACUGCCCUCCAGCCUAGCAACACAGCCAGACCUGUCUCUU
rnacentral:SRP_RNA from 1 species